UUUUAACACCCAUGAGACGCAAGUAACCUGACUGGUGGCAUGGCCUGUGCCUGCACCAUCGACCGACCAUGAUCUUCUGUGAAAGGUUUGAGUACGAGCAUACCUGUUGGGACCCGAAAGAUGGUGAACUAUGCCUGAGCAGGGCGAAGCCAGAGGAAACUCUGGUGGAGGCUCGUAGAUGUGCUGACGUGCAAAUCGCUUUUCGGACUUGGGUAUAGGGGCGAAAGACUAAUCGAACCAUCUAGUAGCUGGUUCCCUCCGAAGUUUCCCCCAGGAUAGCUGGAGCUCGAUCAGUUUUAUCAGGUAAAGCGAAUGAUUAGAGGUACCGGGGAUGUAACAUCCUCGACCUAUUCUCAAACUUUAAAUAGGUAAGACGCCCGGGUUGCUUGAUUGAACCCGGGCUCUCAAUGAGAGCUCCAAGUGGGCCAUUUUUGGUAAGCAGAACUGGCGAUGCGGGAUGAACCGAAAGCUGAGUUAAGGCA
rnacentral:rRNA from 1 species